AUGAUUUUACCACUGUUCCUUUUUUGCUGGGCUGGGAUUCUGUUUAUCAGGGGGCGAGGAAUUCGACUUCCUGGCUUUCCCAUCUCAGCAGUUUUUAUCCCUCCCAUUUGCUUCCCUUUUCCCUCCUCCUCUCCUUCCUCGUUUCCCAUCCCCUCUUUCCCAGCCCUUUCUCCUCCCACUUUCACUCUCUUCCCCUCCCCAUUCUCCCUUCCUAUGUUCUCUAUUGGUGUAAGUGAUCCAGGCCAGACCCUGGGAUGGGCCACUGUCAUUGCUGCUGCAGCUCCUGCUGCUUCCUGGGUUAGGAGCUCCAGAGCCUGGAGGCAAAUUCACACCACAGCCCUGUGGCCUGCUUCCCUACAAGCUGUGGAGCAGAAGUGCAUCGUCGGAAGUAACCUCUUUCUCAUCACCUCCCCCUUAGAGUGGGGGACGCCAAAGGACACUUAGCUUCUUGGACUCAGAGCUCAAGGAAGUGAGCGGUCCCCAAGACCUCUUCCAUUUUUACUGUCUUGUGGUUUUGUAUUAGGUGGUCUUCUCAUCCACUGGAAUGGCUGAAAUAAAAAAGAACGAGCCAAGGUGGAGGAGAGGCUGAGGCAGGAGGAUUGAGAGUCAAGGAAGGGGUUAGGGGGCAACUGGCCAGCUCACAUUGCAGUGGGAAGAGUUGUU
rnacentral:lncRNA from 1 species